rnacentral:rRNA from 1 species
CCCGCUGAACUUAAGCAUAUCAGUAAGCGGAGGAAAAGAAACUAACAAGGAUUCCCUGAGUAACGGCGAGUGAAACGGGAAGAGCUCAAAUUUAAAAUCUGGUGUCCUUGACUGGGCAUCCGAGUUGUGAUUGAGAGGGUCUUCUUUUGGCGGUGCAUCUGUGGCCAAAGUUCUCUGGAAAGGGACAACAAAGAGGGUGACAUUCCCGUCUGGGUCACACGGAUCUCUGCCAGGAUAUAUAAAGAAGGCUCAACGAGUCGGAUUGUUUGGGAAUGCAGUCCAAAAUGGGUGGUACAUUUCAUCUAAAGCUAAAUACAAGCAAGAGACCGAUAGCGAACAAGUACCGUGAGGGAAAGAUGAAAAGAACUUUGAAAAGAGAGUUAAAUAGUACGUGAAAUUGUUAAAAGGGAAACGAUUGAGACCAGUGAUGUCGUCAUGCCUAGAGCGCGUUCGUUCUCCUCCUUCCCCUGCCGCUCAUGGUGGCUGGGUGGGUGUGGGAACACGUGUGCCUGGCGUGUGCGUACAAGUCGACGCUCCGUUUGGGUGCUGGACAAGACGGUCAGAAAGAUGGCUCCAUCCUCCGGAUGGCUGCUUUAUAGUCUGGCCGGGAUACAGUGCACAAGCGGGGUACUAUACAAGAGAGAGUUUCUCUCUCACACACGUCGACGAAAUGGUCUUAAACGACCCGUCUUGAAACACGG